rnacentral:rRNA from 1 species
UCCCCCUUGUGGUCGGUGUACAGGUGGUGCAUGGCUGUCGUCAGCUCGUGUCGGGAGAUGUUGGGUUAAGUCCCGCAACGAGCGCAACCCUUGUCCCGUGUUGCCAGCAGGCCCUUGUGGUGCUGGGGACUCACGGGAGACCGCCGGGGUCAACUCGGAGGAAGGUGGGGACGACGUCAAGUCAUCAUGCCCCUUAUGUCUUGGGCUGCACACGUGCUACAAUGGCCGGUACAAUGAGCUGCGAUACCGCGAGGUGGAGCGAAUCUCAAAAAGCCGGUCUCAGUUCGGAUUGGGGUCUGCAACUCGACCCCAUGAAGUCGGAGUCGCUAGUAAUCGCAGAUCAGCAUUGCUGCGGUGAAUACGUUCCCGGGUCUUGUACACACCG